rnacentral:tRNA from 3 species
GCCGGAAUAGCUCAGUUGGUAGAGCACGUCAUUCGUAAUGAUGGGGUCGUAGGUUCGAUUCCUAUUUCCGGCACCA